rnacentral:lncRNA from 1 species
GUUAUGAGGCUAGCAGCUGGUACCACACUAGCCAAGGGUUAUGAGGCUAGCAGCUGGUGCCACACUAGUAAAGGGUUAUGAGGCUAGCAGCUGGUACCACACUAGCCAAGGGUUAUGAGGCUAGCAGCUGGUACCACACUAGCCAAGGGAUAUGAGGCUAGUAGCUGGUACCACACUAGCCAAGGGUUAUGAGGCUAGCAGCUGGUGCCACACUAGCCAAGGGUUAUGAGGCUAGCAGCUGGUUAUGAGGCUAGCAGCUGGUACCACACUAGCCAAGGGAUAUGAGGCUAGCAGCUGGUUAUGAGGCUAGCAGCUGGUUAUGAGGCUAGCAGCUGGUUAUGAGGCUAGCAGCUGGUGCCACACUAGCCAAGGGUUAUGAGGCUAGCAGCUGGUGCCACACUAGCCAAGGGUUAUGAGGCUAGCAGCUGGUGCCACACUAGUAAAGGGAUAUGAGGCUAGUAGCUGGUACCACACUAGCCAAGGGUUAUGAGGCUAGCAGCUGGUACCACACUAGCCAAGGGUUAUGAGGCUAGCAGCUGGUACCACACUAGCCAAGGGUUAUGAGGCUAGCAGCUGGUACCACACUAGCCAAGGGUUAUGAGGCUAGCAGCUGGUGCCACACUAGCC